rnacentral:rRNA from 1 species
AUGAAAAUUAGUGGAUAGAAAGAAAAAUUGUUAUCCGUAGGAGAAAAGGAAAUUUUGCUCAAAUCUGUUGUACAAGCUAUCCCAGCUUAUGCCAUGUUCGUCUUUAAAAUUCCUAAAACUUGUAAAGAAAUCAUUGACGCGAUGUCGCAAUUUUGGUGGGGUGACGAGGACAAUCAGAAGAGAAUGCAUUGGAUGUGGUGGAAGAUGUGUGUCCCAAAAGACCAAGGAGGUAUGGGUUUUCGAGAUAUACACUAUUUCAAUUUGGCAUUAUUGGCCAAACAAGCGUGGUGCCUGCUUGAUAAUAAAUAUUUCCCAGAUGGCGAUUUAAUGAGUGCAACUCUAAAAAAGGGUUCCUCUUUUACUUCAUUCAGUGACUUUGGCAUUCAAAAAAGGGUCGUCCUAAACAAGGGGCGCUUCCGGUUCUGUGGGUGCUUCAAACAAUUUGCAAAGUAUUAUAGGGGGGAGUGA